CAGAGGUCCCGAGCGUUGUUCGGAUUCACUGGGCGUAAAGGGUGCGUAGGUGGCGUGGUAAGUUUGAUGUGAAAGCUCAGGGCUUAACCCUGAAAUGGCAUUGAAUACUACUGUGCUGGAGGUUUGGAGGGGGACUGGAAUUCUUGGUGUAGCAGUGAAAUGCGUAGAUAUCAAGAGGAACACCAGUGGCGAAGGCGAGUCCCUGGACAACACCUGACACUGAGGCACGAAAGCUAGGGGGAGCAAACAGGAUU
rnacentral:rRNA from 1 species